rnacentral:lncRNA from 1 species
CAUCGCCUCCAAAAGUUCAGGUAUAAAAUUAUCCUACCAUUAGGUUAUAAUAUUUUCUCCUAUACUUUACCUAGGAAUUUUAUAAUUUUAGGUUUUACACCAGAUUCCUAAUCUAAUUUGGGUUAAUUUUUAAUUACUAUGUGAAGUAUUAGUGGAAGUCAUUUUUUUACCCAUAAACAUCUAUUUUUUUCCAACACAAUUAAAAAACCACUCCUUCAUUUUUGAUUAAUGCGGGGUUGAAUCCACAGGUACAUUUGGGAGAAUUUAUAUCUGCUCUGGUCUGAAUGUGCAUCCCCUUCAAAAUUCAUGCUGAAACUUAAUCCCCACUGUACUUGUAUUAAGAGGUAGGGCCUUUUGGGAAGUGAUUAAAUGUUGAGGGCACCCCCCUCAGAAACUGAUUAGUGCAGCAUAAAAAGGCUAGAGGAACUAGUUUAGGCCCUCUUCGCUCCUCCACUCCUAGGCGGUGUGAGGACUCCUAGAAGGUGUGAUCUGUGAGAAACAAGUCCCACACCAGGCACCAGGCCUGCCUAUGCCUUGAUCUUGCACUUCCCAGGCUGCAGGGCUGUGAAAUAAAUUUCUGCUCUUCAUAAUUUAGCCAGUCCAAGGCCUUUGAUUAUAGUAGCAAAACCAGACAAAGACAUUAUCUUACCAAUAUUGAGUUUCCAAUUACUUUGUGUGGUAUAUUUCUCAAUUUUAUUGUCUUUAUUUUUCUCUCAUCAUUAAAUUUGUUAUUUUCAGCAUAAACAUGCUGCAUAUAUUUUGUUAGAUAUACUCAUAAG